CGCUGCCGGAGCCGCGUCCGCCGCGGGCGGGGGGCCGGGCGGACAAAGGGGUUCCGCCUGCCCCGAGGGACCGGCACCGGGCACGGGGCGGCGGAAGCACCACCCGGGACAUGGGGAUGGGCCCGUUCCCUGAGCGCCCCCGGCAGGAGCUGCACCCACGGGAUCAUCCCCAGGCCUUUCCGCAGCAGUCAGCGUUUGGAGAUCACCGAGUUACGACCCUGAGCGCCCAAGGGCUGCUCCGGGCUCGGGCAGAGAACAAGCGGCCCCGUCAGGCUCCCGGACCCCCCUGGCACGGGGUGCAUCCCUCCCCAAUCCACGUGGCCUGGCCUCUGGUUUCUUACUCUGUUCUAUAACAGCACCUAUUCAGAAGCAAGAGAAAGAAACCAUUAAGAUGAAUCUGCAAAGCAAACUGGGACAGGCGUAACUGACCAAGGAGUGACAUCCGUGCAGCUGGAGAGCUCAGUGAUGCUGUCUGUCUGCAACCACCACCGUCAAACCCUGCUUGGAAACUUAUUAAAAGCCGAAGGCUACAAAAGAGAGCAAUGCCUUAAGAAAAAUGCCAUUCAUUCAACUUUGUAUUACACUAAAAAGUCAAUAAAGAAAUAUUUCCUUAAAAAG